UUUAUAUUCAUGGGACAUGCCUGCCAAUGUGUUGUCGUUUUUACGCUCAGGCUUGAGUUCAACAGGUGGUGUAUCCACUUUUAGAAGCACGCUGCUGGCACUCGUGCGCUUUUCUAAUGGUCUAUGAAGAAAGUCGCAUGAUCGCAUGAUAGGAUUCAGAAACGUAACAUAUUUGUUGGUGAUGACAGACACCUGUUUUCCUUGGAUAAAUUUAGGCUAAAUAUAGAUCACAAUGGCUGUGUUCAAGCAGCAGCAGGUCGAGACUUUCUAUGAGAUUGGAGAGGAAGUUGGGAG